UGUUACAAUGGCAGGUACANAGGGGUGCUACCGGGUGACCGGAUGCCGAUCUCGAAAACCUGUCCCAGUUCGGACUGGAGUCUGCAACCCGACUCCACGAAGUUGGAUUCGCUAGUAAUCGCGCAUCAGCCAUGGCGCGGUGAAUACGUUCCCGGGCCUUGUACACACCGCCCGUCAAGCCAUGGGAGCCGGGGGCGCCUGAAGUCCGGGACCGCGAGGACCGGCCUAGGGCGAAACUGGUGACUGGGGCUAAGUCGUAACAAGGUAUC
rnacentral:rRNA from 1 species